rnacentral:misc_RNA from 1 species
UCCGAGUUGACCCCGGCAGUCUCCUACGAGUCCCCGGCAUUACCCGCUGGCAACAUAGGACAAGGGUUGCGCUCGUUGCGGGACUUAACCCAACAUCUCACGACACGAGCUGACGACAGCCAUGCAGCACCUGUGUCCAGGCUCCCUUUCGGGCACCCCUCCAUCUCUGGAGGGUUCCUGGUAUGUCAAGGGUAGGUAAGGUUUUUCGCGUUGCAUCGAAUUAAUCCACAUAAUCCACCGCUUGUGCGGGUCCCCGUCAAUUCCUUUGAGUUUUAGCCUUGCGGCCGUACUCCCCAGGCGGGGCGCUUAAUGCGUUAGCUACGGCACGGAACCCGUCGAUCGGACCCCACACCUAGUGCCCAACGUUUACGGCGUGGACUAC